rnacentral:rRNA from 1 species
UACGUGCCAGCAGCCGCGGUAAUACGUAGGGUGCAAGCGUUAUCCGGAAUUAUUGGGCGUAAAGAGCUCGUAGGCGGUUUGUCGCGUCUGCUGUGAAAACUGGGGGCUCAACCCCCAGCCUGCAGUGGGUACGGGCAGACUAGAGUGCGGUAGGGGAGAUUGGAAUUCCUGGUGUAGCGGUGGAAUGCGCAGAUAUCAGGAGGAACACCGAUGGCGAAGGCAGAUCUCUGGGCCGUAACUGACGCUGAGGAGCGAAAGGGUGGGGAGCAAACAGGCUUAGAUACCCUGGUAGUCCACCCCGUAAACGUUGGGAACUAGUUGUGGGGUCCAUUCCACGGAUUCCGUGACGCAGCUAACGCAUUAAGUUCCCCGCCUGGGGAGUACGGCCGCAAGGCUAAAACUCAAAGGAAUUGACGGGGACCCGCACAAGCGGCGGAGCAUGCGGAUUAAUUCGAUGCAACGCGAAGAACCUUACCAAGGCUUGACAUAUACGAGAACGGGCCAGAAAUGGUCAACUCUUUGGACACUCGUAAACAGGUGGUGCAUGGUUGUCGUCAGCUCGUGUCGUGAGAUGUUGGGUUAAGUCCCGCAACGAGCGCAACCCUCGUUCUAUGUUGCCAGCACGUAAUGGUGGGAACUCAUGGGAUACUGCCGGGGUCAACUCGGAGGAAGGUGGGGAUGACGUCAAAUCAUCAUGCCCCUUAUGUCUUGGGCUUCACGCAUGCUACAAUGGCCGGUACAAAGGGCUGCAAUACCGUAAGGUGGAGCGAAUCCCAAAAAGCCGGUCCCAGUUCGGAUUGAGGUCUGCAACUCGACCUCAUGAAGUCGGAGUCGCUAGUAAUCGCAGAUCAGCAACGCUGCGGUGAAUACGUUCCCGGGUCUUGUACACACCGCCCGUCAAGUCAUGAAAGUCGGUAACACCUGAAGCCGGUUGCCCAACCCUUGUGGAGGGAGCCGUCGAAGGUG